rnacentral:lncRNA from 1 species
GACCUAAUUUCUACAAUUUUUCAAGAACAAGGUCCAAUUCAGACAAAGAGAAGUGAAUGACCUAUUUGAGAAAAGUAACUGAAAAUAGAACUACCUCAAUAAUCAAACCUUUUAAGUAUUGUGUUUAUUAAAAAACUAUAUAAUUUUUUAAGUUAAGAAUAAUAUUAAUUGUUUUUUAUUAAGGGUUAAAUGUGUUUUUAGUCUAUGUACUUUGGGGCGAUUUUGGUUUUAGUCCCUCUCUCAAAGUAUGGUACAAUUUAGUCCUUCAACUUUAGAAAAUUUUGGUUUUAGUCCUCCAAAAUUAACUCCGUUAAAAAUAUGUUGAUGUGUCUAACGGAGGAACUGACACCAUUUUACUUUUCUCACCUUUUCUCCCUCUCUCUCCUUCAUCUUUCUUCCAUCUUCCACCCAUCCUCCACCUCUCCAAAAACAUCAUUUACAAUGCAAGCCACCAUAGAUUCCCACCUCCGCCUCCGCUUCCGUCUCCUCCCCCUCCGCCUCCACCUCUGACUCCGUCUCCACCUCCCGUUCCAAUCACGUUGACAUCGAACAGCCUCAUUCCCAUGCUUCCUCUUCCUCCAUUGUGUGCCAAAUGCGGAUCCAUCGUGGGUCAUCAAGUGGUUAUCAGUGGCUACGUGAACUCUGUGACUUGCUCAGAUUGAAAUAAACGCAAUGCUUCCU